AGUCCGUACAAAAAGGUGGUACAAUGAAGAUUGAGGAAGCAGAGAGCACAUACUCCUAAGGAAAUAUAUCAAUUGGUGUUGGGUGGAGAAGAUAAUCCCAUGGUGGAGGGUUCUUAGAAGCAAAAAAGACGAUCCCUAGAGAGUCCUCAAAUUCUACAGUGGCACCUCAGAAGGAAAAGGCUCCUCCUUCGUCCUCGAAGCCAGCCAAAUCUGGCGGAGGAAAGCAGGAGAAGAAGAAAUGGAGCAAGGGAAAGCAAAAGGAGAAGGUGAACAACAUGGUUUUGUUUGAUCAGGGAACCUAUGACAAGCUCCUUGUGGAA